AACGCGUAUGCAAUCUACCUUUUACAGAGGGAUAGCCCAGAGAAAUUUGGAUUAAUACCUCAUAGUAUUAUGAAAUGGCAUCAUUUUAUAAUUAAAGUCACAACGGUAAAAGAUGAGCAUGCGUCCCAUUAGCUAGUUGGUAAGGUAACGGCUUACCAAGGCUACGAUGGGUAGGGGUCCUGAGAGGGAGAUCCCCCACACUGGUACUGAGACACGGACCAGACUCCUACGGGAGGCAGCAGUGAGGAAUAUUGGACAAUGGGCGCAAGCCUGAUCCAGCCAUGCCGCGUGCAGGAUGACGGUCCUAUGGAUUGUAAACUGCUUUUAUACGAGAAGAAACACUACUUCGUGAAGUAGCUUGACGGUAUCGUAAGAAUAAGGAUCGGCUAACUCCGUGCCAGCAGCCGCGGUAAUACGGAGGAUCCAAGCGUUAUCCGGAAUCAUUGGGUUUAAAGGGUCCGUAGGCGGUUUAAUAAGUCAGUGGUGAAAGCCCAUCGCUCAACGGUGGAACGGCCAUUGAUACUGUUAAACUUGAAUUAUUAGGAAGUAACUAGAAUAUGUAGUGUAGCGGUGAAAUGCUUAGAGAUUACAUGGAAUACCAAUUGCGAAGGCAGGUUACUACUAAUGGAUUGACGCUGAUGGACGAAAGCGUGGGUAGGGAACAGGAUUAGAUACCCUGGUAGUCCACG
rnacentral:rRNA from 1 species